rnacentral:rRNA from 1 species
GAUGAACGCUAGCUACAGGCUUAACACAUGCAAGUCGAGGGGAAACGACAUCGAAAGCUUGCUUUUGGUGGGCGUCGACCGGCGCACGGGUGAGUAACGCGUAUCCAACCUGCCCACCACUUGGGGAUAACCUUGCGAAAGUAAGACUAAUACCCAAUGAUAUCCCACGAAGGCAUCCGAAUGGGAUUAAAGAUUUAUCGGUGAUGGAUGGGGAUGCGUCUGAUUAGCUUGUUGGCGGGGUAACGGCCCACCAAGGCGACGAUCAGUAGGGGUUCUGAGAGGAAGGUCCCCCCACAUUGGAACUGAGACACGGUCCAAACUCCUACGGGAGGCAGCAGUGAGGAAUAUUGGUCAAUGGGCGAGAGCCUGAACCAGCCAAGUAGCGUGCAGGAUGACGGCCCUAUGGGUUGUAAACUGCUUUUAUAAGGGAAUAAAGUGAGUCUCGUGAGACUUUUUGCAUGUACCUUAUGAAUAAGGACCGGCUAAUUCCGUG